GAUGAACGCUAGCUACAGGCUUAACACAUGCAAGUCGAGGGGCAGCAUAGGGUUUGCUUGCAAACUCUGAUGGCGACCGGCGUACGGGUGAGUAACGCGUAUCCAACCUGCCCAUGGCUAGGGAAUAGCCCGUUGGAAAGCGGAUUAAUGCCCUAUGGGGUCCUUUGCAGACAUCUAACGAGGACUAAAGGUUUACCGGCCAUGGAUGGGGAUGCGUCCGAUUAGGUAGUUGGCGGGGUAACGGCCCACCAAGCCUUCGAUCGGUAGGGGUUCUGAGAGGAAGGUCCCCCACAUUGGAACUGAGACACGGUCCAAACUCCUACGGGAGGCAGCAGUGAGGAAUAUUGGUCAAUGGGCGGAAGCCUGAACCAGCCAAGUAGCGUGCAGGAUGACGGCCCUAUGGGUUGUAAACUGCUUUUAUGCGGGAAUAAAGAGGCCCACGUGUGGGCUGUUGCAUGUACCGCAUGAAUAAGGACCGGCUAAUUCCGUGCCAGCAGCCGCCGUAACAC
rnacentral:rRNA from 1 species